ACUUCGGUACAUCCAAGACAGGUGGUGCAUGGUUGUCGUCAGCUCGUGUCGUGAGAUGUUGGGUUAAGUCCCGCAACGAGCGCAACCCUUAUCUUCAGUAGCCAGCAGGUAAAGCCGGGCACUCUGGAGAGACUGCCGGGGAUAACCCGGAGGAAGGUGGGGAUGACGUCAAAUCAUCAUGCCCCUUAUGAUUUGGGCUACACACGUGCUACAAUGGCGUGAACAGAGGGAAGCGAGCCCGCGAGGGGGAGCAAAUCCCAAAAAUAACGUCCCAGUUCGGAUUGUAGUCUGCAACCCGACUACAUGAAGCUGGAAUCGCUAGUAAUCGCGGAUCAGAAUGCCGCGGUGAAUACGUUCCCGGGUCUUGUACACACCGCCCGUCACACCAUGGGAGUCGGAAAUGCCCGAAGUCUGUGACCUAACCGCAAGGGAGGAGCAGCCGAAGGCAGGUCGGAUGACUGGGGUGAAGUCGUAACAAGGUAGCCGUAUCGGAAGGUGCGGUUGGAUCACCUC
rnacentral:rRNA from 1 species